CUCUCUAUAGUUAAAUGGAUAUAACAAGUCCCUCCUAAGGACUAGUUGUAGGUUCGAUUCCUACUAGGGAGG
rnacentral:tRNA from 2 species